AUGAACGCUGGCGGCGUGCUUUACACAUGCGAGUCGAGCGAGGCGGUCCGCAAGGGUCAGUCGAGCGGCGAACGGGGUGAGUAACGCGUGGAUAACCUGCCCAGAGGUGGGGGGAUAACCCGGGGAAACUCGGGCUAAUACCGCAUGAUACCGAGAGGUCAAAGGGGGCUCGCAAGGGGCUCUCGCCAUUGAGGGGUCCGCGUCAGAUUAGCUAGUCGGUAGGGGUAAUGGCCUACCAAGGCGACGAUCGGUAGCCGGCCUGAGAGGGUGAUCGGCCACACUGGAACUGAGACACGGUCCAGACUCCUACGGGAUGGCAGCAGUGAGGGAAUUUUGCGCAAUGGGCUAACGCCUGACGCAGUAACGCCGCGUGGAGGAUGAAGGUCUUCUGGAUUGUAAACUCCUGUCAGCCGGGAGAAAAAAGCGACUUCGUGCCUAACCACGGCGGAGUUUGACUGUACCCCGGUAGAGGAAGCCCCGGCUAACUCUGUGCCAGCAGCCGCGGUAAAUAAGGGGGCAAGCGUUAUUCGGAAUUUAGCUGUGGCCGUAAAGGGGCGCGUAGCGGCCUGCUAAAGUCGGAACGGUGAAAUCCCUCGGGCUAACCCGAGGAACUGCCCUCCGAUACUGAAGCUUGGAUGAGACCGGGAGAGGUGAGUGCGGAAUUCCAGGUGUAGCGGUGAAAUUGCGUAGAUAUCUGGGAGGAACACCGGUGGCGGAAGGCGGCAUCACUGGACCGGUAACUUGACGCUGAUGCGCGAAAGCGUGGGGAGCAACGGGAUUAGAUACCCCGGUAGUCCACGCCGUGCCUAAACGAUGAGCUGCUUGGUGUGGCGGGGUAUCGACCCCUGCCGUGCCGACGUCUAACACAUUAAGCACUUCCGCCUGGGGAGUACGGUCGCAAGGCUGAAACUCAAAGGAAUUGACGGGGGCCCGCACAAGCGGUGGAGCAUGUGGUUCAAUUCGAACGCAAACGAGAAGAACCUUACCUGCGGCUUUGAACUGCAGGGUAAGCAUCAGACGAUGAGGCCCUUCCUCAAGGAGGCAGCCUGCAUAGGUGCUGCAGUGGCUGUCGUCAGCUCGUGUCGUGAGAUGUUGGGUUAAGUCCCGUCAACGAGCGCAACUCCUUGUCUUCAUGUUGCUCAUCGGGUUAUGCGGGCACUCUAUGAGAGACUGCCGGUGACUAACCGGAGGAAGGUGGGGAUGACGUCAAGUCAUCAUGGCCUUUAUGUCAUGGGGCUACACACGUGCUACAAUGGCCGGUACAAAGACCGUCGCGAUCUCCGCGAGAGGGGAGCUAAUCUGCAAAAAGCCGGUCUCAGUUCGGAUUGUACUGCUGCAACUCGCGCUGCAUGAAGCUUGGAAUCGCUAAGUAAUCCGCGGAUCAGCACGCCCGCGGUGAAUUACGUUCCCGGGCCUUGUAACACACCGCCCGUCACAUCACGAAAGUCCGGCCUGUAACUAGAAGUCGGUGGCGCUAACCCCGCAAGGGGAGGCAGCCGCCUAAAGUGUGAUCGGUAAUUGGGGUG
rnacentral:rRNA from 1 species